UUUUUGCACACCACUUGUUUGAUUUUGUAUCUUUCUUCAUCUUCAUAUUUUAUUACAAAAGAUGAAUAUAGUGACACACAUGAAGAGUUUACAGUAACCGUGGGUAUGAUUUUAACGCAACCAUUAUUUCUAACAAGAUGUUUGCACUAUAAGAUAAAAGAGAAACACAAGAUAAGGGUACAAGUAUUGGUAUCUAUAAGUAGAAAAUAG
rnacentral:lncRNA from 1 species